AUGGUGUCAGAGAUUUGGCACCGAAAAUCUAAGCAUUUAAGGUAUAGAUUUUUGGGUUGAAAUUUAGCUUGGGAUAAUUGCAAUUUUGGUCCCUAAUUGUAUAGGAACUUUGCAAGUUGAUCCUUGAGCUUCAACUAUAAAUAGGCCUAACUAUUUCUCAUUUUCUACAUCCCACAUUUGCCAUUCUCUACUUAAGGCAAUUGUUCUCUCUC
rnacentral:lncRNA from 1 species